AAGUCAUAACAAGGUAUCUGUAGGUGAACCUGCAGAUGGAUCAUUAGUGAAUAACAAGGGGUUCCCACUCUGUGGGCCCCAACCCUAUCACCAUAUCCACACACCUGUGCACCGCUAGUGAUGACCGAUGUGCAAGCAUCUUGUCAUUGCCGGCACCCCUUUUACACACACACACGCAAAGUAAAUGAAUGUCACUGUAACUACGCAAGUAGAAACAAAAUACAACUUUUGACAACGGAUCUCUUGGUUCUCC
rnacentral:misc_RNA from 1 species